GUCACGACGCACGUAUUUUGAUUUUUACCAGUCGUUCAAGGCGGACGGAUUCAGUCCCAAGAAGCUAAAGUUUUUCAAAGACAUUUGUAGGGAGGACUUUGCAGCUAAUGGAGCUGAAGUAUUUUAUGUAAGGAGGAUUUUGCAGCCCAUAUAGGCAAGUCAUUAUAAUGAAAACUCUUAGGGGUGGUUUCCCGGACAGGGAUUAGCUUUAUCCAGGACUAGACCUUAGUUUAAUUAGGAUAGUUUUAACAAA